AUUGAACGCUGGCGGCAGGCCUAACACAUGCAAGUCGAGCGGAGCGGCGGACGGGUGAGGAAUGCCUAGGAAUCUGCCUGGUAGUGGGGGAAAACGUCCGGAACCGGGAGCUAAUACCGCAUCCUAUCAAAUGAGCCUAGGUCGGAUUAGCUAGUGGGUGGGGUAAAGGCCUUCCAAGGCGACGAUCCGUAACUGGGCUGAGAGGGUGAUCAGUCACACUGGAACUGUGACACGGUCCAGACUCCGACGGGAGGCAGCAGUGGGGAAUAUUGUACAAUGGGCGAAAGCCUGAUCCAGCCAUGCCGCGUGUGUGAAGAAGGUCUUCGGAUUGUAAAGCACUUUAAGUUGGGAGGCGUUACCAACAGAGUAAGCACCGGCUAACAUCGGGCCAGCCGCCGCGGUAAUAC
rnacentral:rRNA from 1 species